UUGACGCUGCGGGGCCCGUGAAGUGUGGUAAAUCUCCAGGGCCAAUAAAUACUACUCGGGAGCUGUCCCUAUUGUACCCCUGGGUAUGGUAUACGGCGCCCACCUAGACCUACCGGCCUAGGAAGAUUAGACGCGUAACGACCCACGCGGCGUCACC
rnacentral:other from 1 species